UACGUAGGGUGCGAGCGUUAAUCGGAAUUACUGGGCGUAAAGCGUGCGCAGGCGGUUGGCCGUGUCCGAUGUGAAAGCCCCGGGCUUAACCUGGGAAUGGCAUUGGAAACUGGCUGGCUGGAGUGUGGCAGAGGGGGGUGGAAUUCCACGUGUAGCAGUGAAAUGCGUAGAGAUGUGGAGGAACACCGAUGGCGAAGGUAGCCCCCUGGGCCAACACUGACGCUCAGGCACGAAAGCGUGGGGAGCAAACAGG
rnacentral:rRNA from 1 species